UCUAUAGAAGUGUUUUCCGUGCUGGCUCAUGUACAAGUCCCUUGGAACAGGGCGUCAUAGAGGGUGAGAAUCCCGUACUUGACAUGAAUCACCAGUGCUCUGUGAUACACUUUCAAAGAGUCGAGUUGUUUGGGAAUGCAGCUCAAAAUGGGUGGUAAAUUCCAUCUAAAGCUAAAUAUUGGCGAGAGACCGAUAGCGAACAAGUACCGUGAGGGAAAGAUGAAAAGCACUUUGGAAAGAGAGUUAAACAGUAUGUGAAAUUGUUAAAAGGGAAACGAUUGAAGUCAAUCAUGUCCUUGGGUCUUACCACCCUUGGAUGGGGUCAACAUCAGUUUUGAUCGGUGGAUAAGGAUAGGAGGAAGGUAGCACUCUCGGGUGAACUUAUAGCCUCCUGUCGCAUACACUGGUUGAGACUGAGGUCUGCUAUUACAGGAUGUUGACAUAAUGGCUUUAAACGACCCGUCUUGAAACACGGACCA
rnacentral:rRNA from 1 species